ACCCAGCGAAGAAAGGUAUCUCUCCUGGGACCACCUUGGCUCUCCUUCAUGGGAGUGACAUUGCAGCAAGCAGCUCGUUAUUCUUCUGUUCCUGGAAGUAUAUGUUUCAAUAAUGAUCUGCCUUGCGUUCAGCCCACAGAAUAUGGUGAAGAUUUACUGGAACAUAAUGAAAACAGUAGCAACCCCUUUUCCCCAGAAAAGAGGAGUGAGGGUGGUGAUGCGCCAGAGGCAAGAACUUGAUCUAACAGCUGAGUGAUCCAAGUAUGACCACUGUGAAAGGAGAUAUUUGUCAACAGGAUACAUGUCCAUUAGAAACUGGACCAAAGCCAUGGAUUCAUUUGUCAUACUUUCCAAAACAGCCUUGACUGGUAAUGAGUUCUUUGCUCUAGAAACCAAGAUUGGUAUGAAGAAAAGGCCUCUUGACAUAGA